GGAGAGCCUGGGCCUGUGUGCCCUGGGGCUCGCACCCCGUGUGCUCAAUUCGGAGCCCCCAGGUUCCCCAGGUAGCCUGGCCCGUGUUGCUGUGUGAUGUUGACCAGCGAGGCCAUGUUCGGGGCUGCUCUCCAGGGCUUCGCGGGGGAUCUGACAGGCCGCCCUGCCACGCCUGCCUUGUCUUCCGACGUCUGCGAAGUGCUGGGCCUGGGGGCGCAGAAUGUUAUUCCAGAUGUUGAAAAGCCUUCCCGGAGAAGGGGCAUCUGUCCAGGUUGGCAACGGCUCUUCCUCCUCCUCGCUGUGUGACCCUGAGGGCCUCGGUUCCUCCGCAGUGAAAGAAGCACGAAGGCAUCGCCCCACCCCACACCACUGACCGCCAGGGAGCCAUUAUCUCCUGUCACCCACCCACCCACAGGUGAUCUGGACAUGGGCUCGGGGGUGGGGAGACCACACGCAGCCUCCGCCCGGCUCCCAGCAUUUCUCAGCCGGAGAACAAGUCCAGAGGCGCCAGUGAAGGAAACACACUGUAAUUUGCACCCUCACCGAGAAGAAAGGGGGAGGGGGAGGGGUCUGUCCCCAUGUGGGAGUGGGGUCUGGGCGGGGAUCUGCCACCCCCCCAGUGGCGCUGCCCCUCUGGCCUGGGCCCCUGGCCGUGUGGGUGCUGCUCACAGCCUCUCCCGGUGACCAUGGCCAGCGCCGGGGGAGGCACCGGGCGUACUGACUGUUUGGUGAUCGUCGCUGUAUUUACAGGGCUUGAUGGGGAUAAAAAUAAAGUGAG